GAGGGUGUAGCUCGGUGGUAGAGCGUGUGCUUAGCAUGCACAAGGUCCUGGGUUCAGUCCCCAGUGCCUCCG
rnacentral:tRNA from 1 species